UACGUAGGGUGCGAGUGUUGUCCGGAAUUACUGGGCGUAAAGAGCUCGUAGGUGGUUUGUCGCGUUGUUCGUGAAAACUCACAGCUCAACUGUGGGCGUGCGGGCGAUACGGGCAGACUGGAGUACUGCAGGGGAGACUGGAAUUCCUGGUGUAGCGGUGGAAUGCGCAGAUAUCAGGAGGAACACCGGUGGCGAAGGCGGGUCUCUGGGCAGUAACUGACGCUGAGGAGCGAAAGCGUGGGGAGCGAACAGG
rnacentral:rRNA from 1 species